GACGAACGCUGGCGGCGUGCCUAAUACAUGCACGUAGAACGCAGUUGCGAACGGGUGAGUAACGCGUAGGUAACUGCCUCAUAGCGGGGGAUGACUAUUGGAAACGAUAUCUAAUACCGCAUACUGUGAGAUGGACCUGCGUUGUAUUAGAUAGUUGGUGAGGUAAAGGCUCAACAAGGCGACGAUACAAAGCCGACGUGAUAGGGUGAUCGUACACAAUGUGACUGAGACACGGCCCAGAAUCCUACUGGCGGCAGCAGUAGGGAAUCUUCGGCAAUGUACGGAAGUCUGACCGAGCAACGUGGCGUGAGUGAAGAAGGUUUGUGGAUCGUAAAGCUCCGUUGUUAGAGAGUCGGUAACUACCCAGAAAGGGACGGCUAACUACGUGCCAGCAGCCGCGGUAAUAC
rnacentral:rRNA from 1 species